rnacentral:rRNA from 1 species
UGCCAGCCGCCGCGGUAAUACGAAGGGGGCUAGCGUUGUUCGGAAUCACUGGGCGUAAAGAGCGUGUAGGCGGAUAUGUAAGCUAGAGGUGAAAGCCCGGGGCUCAACCUCGGAACGGCCUUUAGAACUGCAUAUCUAGAAUCUCGGAGAGGUUAGUGGAAUACCGAGUGUAGAGGUGAAAUUCGUAGAUAUUCGGUGGAACGCCAGUGGCGAAGGCGACUAACUGGACUGAUACUGACGCUGAGGUGCGAAAGUGUGGGGAGCAAACAGGAUUAGAUA